UUCUUCCUACGGGACGCAGCAGUAGGGAAUCUUCCACAGUGGACGAAAGUCUGAUGGAGCAACGCCGCGUGAGUGAAGAAGGGUUUCGGCUCGUAAAUCUCUGUUUGGAGUGAAGAAAGAUAGAGGUAGUAACUGGCCUUUAUUUGACGGUAAUUACUUAGAAAGUCACGGCUAACUACGUGCCAGCAGCCGCGGUAAUACGUAGGUGGCAAGCGUUGUUCGGAAUAACUGUGCGUAA
rnacentral:rRNA from 1 species